UUAAGCGACUAAGCGUACACGGUGGAUGCCCUGGCAGUCAGAGGCGAUGAAGGACGUGCUAAUCUGCGAUAAGCGUCGGUAAGGUGAUAUGAACCGUUAUAACCGGCGAUUUCCGAAUGGGGAAACCCAGUGUGAUUCGUCACACUAUCAUUAACUGAAUCCAUAGGUUAAUGAGGCGAACCGGGGGAACUGAAACAUCUAAGUACCCCGAGGAAAAGAAAUCAACCGAGAUUCCCCCAGUAGCGGCGAGCGAACGGGGAGGAGCCCAGAGCCUGAAUCAGUGUGUGUGUUAGUGGAAGCGUCUGGAAAGGCGCGCGAUACAGGGUGACAGCCCCGUACACAAAAAUGCACAUACUGUGAGCUCGAUGAGUAGGGCGGGACACGUGGUAUCCUGUCUGAAUAUGGGGGGACCAUCCUCCAAGGCUAAAUACUCCUGACUGACCGAUAGUGAACCAGUACCGUGAGGGAAAGGCGAAAAGAACCCCGGCGAGGGGAGUGAAAAAGAACCUGAAACCGUGUACGUACAAGCAGUGGGAGCCUCUUAAUGGGGUGACUGCGUACCUUUUGUAUAAUGGGUCAGCGACUUAUAUUCUGUAGCAAGGUUAACCGAAUAGGGGAGCCGAAGGGAAACCGAGUCUUAACUGGGCGUUAAGUUGCAGGGUAUAGACCCGAAACCCGGUGAUCUAGCCAUGGGCAGGUUGAAGGUUGGGUAACACUAACUGGAGGACCGAACCGACUAAUGUUGAAAAAUUAGCGGAUGACUUGUGGCUGGGGGUGAAAGGCCAAUCAAACCGGGAGAUAGCUGGUUCUCCCCGAAAGCUAUUUAGGUAGCGCCUCGUGAAUUCAUCUCCGGGGGUAGAGCACUGUUUCGGCAAGGGGGUCAUCCCGACUUACCAACCCGAUGCAAACUGCGAAUACCGGAGAAUGUUAUCACGGGAGACACACGGCGGGUGCUAACGUCCGUCGUGAAGAGGGAAACAACCCAGACCGCCAGCUAAGGUCCCAAAGUCAUGGUUAAGUGGGAAACGAUGUGGGAAGGCCCAGACAGCCAGGAUGUUGGCUUAGAAGCAGCCAUCAUUUAAAGAAAGCGUAAUAGCUCACUGGUCGAGUCGGCCUGCGCGGAAGAUGUAACGGGGCUAAACCAUGCACCGAAGCUGCGGCAGCGACGCUGAUGCGUUGUUGGGUAGGGGAGCGUUCUGUAAGCCUGUGAAGGUGGCCUGUGAGGGUUGCUGGAGGUAUCAGAAGUGCGAAUGCUGACAUAAGUAACGAUAAAGCGGGUGAAAAGCCCGCUCGCCGGAAGACCAAGGGUUCCUGUCCAACGUUAAUCGGGGCAGGGUGAGUCGACCCCUAAGGCGAGGCCGAAAGGCGUAGUCGAUGGGAAACAGGUUAAUAUUCCUGUACUUGGUGUUACUGCGAAGGGGGGACGGAGAAGGCUAUGUUGGCCGGGCGACGGUUGUCCCGGUUUAAGCGUGUAGGCUGGUUUUCCAGGCAAAUCCGGAAAAUCAAGGCUGAGGCGUGAUGACGAGGCACUACGGUGCUGAAGCGACAAAUGCCCUGCUUCCAGGAAAAGCCUCUAAGCAUCAGGUAACAUCAAAUCGUACCCCAAACCGACACAGGUGGUCAGGUAGAGAAUACCAAGGCGCUUGAGAGAACUCGGGUGAAGGAACUAGGCAAAAUGGUGCCGUAACUUCGGGAGAAGGCACGCUGAUAUGUAGGUGAAGCGACUUGCUCGUGGAGCUGAAAUCAGUCGAAGAUACCAGCUGGCUGCAACUGUUUAUUAAAAACACAGCACUGUGCAAACACGAAAGUGGACGUAUACGGUGUGACGCCUGCCCGGUGCCGGAAGGUUAAUUGAUGGGGUUAGCGGUAACGCGAAGCUCUUGAUCGAAGCCCCGGUAAACGGCGGCCGUAACUAUAACGGUCCUAAGGUAGCGAAAUUCCUUGUCGGGUAAGUUCCGACCUGCACGAAUGGCGUAAUGAUGGCCAGGCUGUCUCCACCCGAGACUCAGUGAAAUUGAACUCGCUGUGAAGAUGCAGUGUACCCGCGGCAAGACGGAAAGACCCCGUGAACCUUUACUAUAGCUUGACACUGAACAUUGAGCCUUGAUGUGUAGGAUAGGUGGGAGGCUUUGAAGUGUGGACGCCAGUCUGCAUGGAGCCGACCUUGAAAUACCACCCUUUAAUGUUUGAUGUUCUAACGUGGGCCCCUUACCGGGGUUGCGGACAGUGUCUGGUGGGUAGUUUGACUGGGGCGGUCUCCUCCUAAAGAGUAACGGAGGAGCACGAAGGUUGGCUAAUCCUGGUCGGACAUCAGGAGGUUAGUGCAAUGGCAUAAGCCAGCUUGACUGCGAGCGUGACGGCGCGAGCAGGUGCGAAAGCAGGUCAUAGUGAUCCGGUGGUUCUGAAUGGAAGGGCCAUCG
rnacentral:rRNA from 1 species